UAUCUCCUACGGGGCGCAGCAGUCGAGAAUCAUUCACAAUGGGGGAAACCCUGAUGCAGCGACGCCGCGUGAGUGAAGAAGUAUUUCGGUAUGUAAAGCUCUAUCAGCAGGGAAGAAAAAAGACGGUACCUGACUAAGAAGCCCCGGCUAACUACGUGCCAGCAGCCGCGGUAAUACGUAGGGGGCAAGCGUUAUCCGGAUUUACUGGGUGUAAAGGGAGCGUAGACGGCAAUACAAGUCGGAAGUGAAAUACCCGGGCUCAACCUGGGAACUGCUUUGGAAACUGUAUGGCUAGAGUGCUGGAG
rnacentral:rRNA from 1 species